CUGAGCUUCCUCGUGAAGGGACUAGAGAAGAAAAAUCAGAGUAAAACAAAGUCAAGCAAAAGGAAAGAAGCGAGUUUUGCCAAGUCAUCAUAGGUCACCCAACAUUUCGGGGCGGGAAAGUUCUUGCAGAAAGUGAGGCGUCUCAGCAAUUUCUCUGCUUCAAAGUCCUCAGUGACAUAGGAUUACUCACCGGACGUUACUUACAAUGGGUCCCUCCCCACUGUGGCCCCACACAGCUCCCGAAAUGACCGUCCCCUUCCCCUUCCUGUUUUCCCAGCUGAGCAUCUCGGAGGCUGCCAGACAUCUCCCCGCCCCUCCUGUUCCCUCUCUCCGCACGACGCCACGGGGACUCCCCUGCCCUCUUCAUCUGAAACCCAAAUGCUGCCAGCGUCGCCGUCCUCCAUCCGCGUAUCGAACACUAAGGCGCUGUUUGAAGCGUCGUGUUUGCAUCGUUCUGCCUCGUGUUUCUGAUAACCCUAUGAUAUGAUUAGUUCCCGGAGCACAAAGGCCACAUCGGAUCAACUCGUGUGGAAUCCAAUUCAGGCUUCAUACAAAUUUGUGGGGUGAGGGAGGGAGGGAAGGUGUGGCAGUUAGGGUUCUCCAGAGAGAGAGAGAGCGCGGGCUCCCGUGAUCAUGGACGCUGAGAAGUCCUGAGACAGAACUCAACACCCGCCUUUUCUCUUACAACCACUGCCUCCAUGCGCCCAAUGAAACCUUUUUCUAACGUGUCCGUAUCGUCACAGAAACUCAGCGACAGCCAGGCAGCCGCGGUCUGGGGAUAACCUGCAUACGCGCCCAUCGACCCAUCAACAGAGCAGACCGAGCUCCCCGCCCUCUGUAGUCCACCUGCCACUACCUCUCAGAGAAUUUGCUUGUCAUUAAAUACUUAGGGGGCAUCGACUGUACCCCAGAUACUCGUCCAAGGACUGGGAUGGCGUCGUCAACGAGAAAAACCCGUGUGUGCCCUCAAGGAACUGCUAUUUCAGUGCAGGGGAGGGAGAAUCACACACGUACACAGAAAGUGAGAAAUUUGGAAACACUGAUGAGUGCUUUAGAUAAACUUAUCUAAACGCCAUUUGCUGUCCCUGACUGGCGGUAGGGCGUGGAGGUACGGCGGUAUUGACGGUCAGGGAAGAACAUCCUUCCGAACAGGGAUAUUGAAGCGGAGUGCUGAGUGACUGGAAGGAUCCAGGCAUCUGAAGGAGGAGUAAGCCACACACCACACCGGGUCCCGAAGGCAAAAACGAGCCUGGUAUUGAGAAUUAGAAAAACCAACGUGGCUAGAACAGGGUAAGCAAAGGAGGUUGGAAGCAGGCCGGGCUGGCUGGAGAACAGCUGGGGAGGCCAUAAAAGGGGCAGGACUGUGUUGAACGUGGAAUGGGAAGCCACUGGAAGGUUUCAAGAGCCCGGCACUUGAGUUAACUUACGUUUCUAGAAGAUUGCUGGGGCUGUUGUAUGGAUGGUAGACUGCUGGAGGGAGAGGACCA
rnacentral:lncRNA from 1 species